rnacentral:rRNA from 1 species
GGAUGCGAUCAUACCAGCACUAAUGCACCGGAUCCCAUUAGAACUCCGAAGUUAAGCGUGCUUGGGCGAGAGUAGUACUAGGAUGGGUGACCUCCUGGGAAGUCCUCGUGUUGUAUUCC